rnacentral:rRNA from 1 species
GACGAACGCUGGCGGCGCGCCUAACACAUGCAAGUCGAACGAGCGAGAGGAGGUUUACUUUCUCCAGCGAGUGGCGAACGGGUGAGUAACGCGUGAGGAACCUGCCUCAAAGAGGGGGACAACAGUUGGAAACGACUGCUAAUACCGCAUAAGCCCACGACCCGCCAUCGGGUAGAGGGAAAAGGAGCAAUCCGCUUUGAGAUGGCCUCGCGUCCGAUUAGCUAGUUGGUGAGGUAAUGGCCCACCAAGGCGACGAUCGGUAGCCGGACUGAGAGGUUGAACGGCCACAUUGGGACUGAGACACGGCACAGACUCCUACGGGAGGCAGGAGUGGGGAAUAGUGCAAAAUGGGGGAAACCCUGAUGGAGCGACGCCGCGUGGAGGAAGAAGGUCUUCGGAUUGUAAACUCCUGUUGUUGAGGAAGAUAAUGACGGUACUCAACAAGGAAGUGACGGCUAACUACGUG